UGUUAAAAUAUUAAUUAAAACGAAGCAAUAUAACCAAUAACAGAUAAAUAAUAAUAAAAUAUGCAAAUGAUCAGUGUGGAUAUAAGGGCCGUAAUUAAUGUACAAGCACGUCGACCAAACUUAGCUUCUGUAAGUUAAUUCUCGUAUGGUUAUUCUCUUAUUACACACACGCUUGCAAUGACUCAAACUUCCAAUAUCGUUAACGACCCUCGGGCACCUUCUUACAGUCGCGUAAAUCCGGAUGUCGGUGAUAAACUUUCGAUUGCUCGUUUAAUGCCAGGUACUAUCGACUGGACAUUUCUUACUCGAUAAACCAACAAAUAAAAUUCCGAGCGAACAUACAUCAUGUGUAUUGCGGGUUUUGUUAACUUUUCGGGCUCUCCAGAUAAUACUGCAACGUCUCAGUUGCCGUAGCAGUGCAGAAUAAUUGAGUGGAUAAAGGUACGUCAAUGAAACAUGCUGGGAGUGACAAAAAACACCGAUAUUAAGAGAAA